GUAGUUAGCCGGGGCUUCCUCCUUGGCUACCGUCACUUUCUUCGUCACCAAGGACAGAGGUUUACAAUCCGAAGACCUUCUUCCCUCACGCGGCGUUGCUGGGUCAGGCUUGCGCCCAUUGCCCAAUAUUCCCCACUGCUGCCUCCCGUAGGAGUCUGGACCGUGUCUCAGUUCCAGUGUGGCCGAUCAGCCUCUCAGCUCGGCUACCCAUCGUUGGCUAGGUGGGCCGUUACCCCGCCUACUACCUAAUGGGACGCGAACCCCUCCUUCUGCGGAUUGCUCCUUUGACCCCUGAGCCAUGCGACUCUGUGGUCUUAUGCGGUAUUAGCACUUGUUUCCAGGUGUUAUCCCCCUCAAAAGGGCAGGUUGUUCACGCGUUACUCACCCGUUCGCCACUAGCUAUAAAUCCGAAAACCUAUAGCCCGUUCGACUUGCAUGUGUUAGGCACGCCGCCAGCGUUCGUCCUGAGCCACGAAUCGAACCCUACGA
rnacentral:rRNA from 1 species